rnacentral:rRNA from 1 species
UAGUACCGUGAGGGAAAGGUGAAAAGAACCCCGGGAGGGGAGUGAAAGAGAACCUGAAACCAUAUGCCUACAAGAAGUCAGAGCCCGUUAAAGGGUGAUGGCGUGCCUUUUGUAGAAUGAACCGGCGAGUUGCGACAGACUGCGAGGUUAAGGAGGAAAGACCGGAGCCGAAGCGAAAGCGAGUCUUAAUAGGGCGAAAGUAGGAUGUUGCAGACCCGAAACCGGGUGAUCUAGCCAUGAGCAGGUUGAAGUUGAGGUGAAACUCAAUGGAGGACCGAACCGACUACCGUUGAAAAGUUAGCGGAUGACUUGUGGCUAGGGGAGAAAUUCCAAUCGAACCCGGAGAUAGCUGGUUCUCCCCGAAAUAGCUUUAGGGCUAGCGUCGGAAAGAACCUUAGUGAAGGUAGAGCACUGAAUGUGUGAUGGCCCCAUCCCGGGGUACUGAAUACAAUCAAACUGCGAAUGUCAUUAAGGAUGUCCGGCAGUCAGACUGUGAGUGAUAAGGUCCAUGGUCAAGAGGGAAACAGCCCAGACCGCCAGUUAAGGUCCCAAAAUACAGGCUAAGUGGAAAAGGAUGUGGGGAUGCCCAGACAACUAGGAGGUUGGCUCAGAAGCAGCCAUCCUUUAAAGAGUGCGUAACAGCUCACUAGUCGAGUGACCCUGCGCCGAAAAUGUACCGGGGCUAAGCCUGAUACCGAAACUGCGGAUUGUAGGAAACUAUAGUGGUAGGGGAGCGUUGUAUACGAGUAGAAGCCGUACCGUGAGGAGCGGUGGAUUGUAUAGAAGUGAGAAUGCCGGUGUGAGUAGCGAGAUGUAGGUGAGAAUCCUACACACCGAAAGCCCAAGGAUUCCAGGGGAAGGUUCGUCCGCCCUGGGUAAGUCGGGACCUAACGCGAGGCCGAAAGGCGUAGUGGAUGGAAAGCAGGCGAAAGAUUCCUGCACCCGUAUAUGGAGCGAAGGAGUGACGGAGACGGAUAGUGUGACCCUCUUAAUGGAUUGAGGGCGAAGCGAAGCGGCUGGUUACCAGGCAAAUCCGGUAACCAUAAGGCUAGAGCGUGAUAGGUAAGCGAAAUCUUCGGAAAGUAGCGAAGCACAUGAUGACGGCUUCCAGGAAAAGCUUCUGGCAAUGCAUAUGCGGCCCGUACCAAAACCGACACAGGUGGGCAGGGAGAGAAUCCCGAGGUGAGCGAGAGAACUGUUGCCAAGGAACUCGGCAAAAUGACUCCGUAAGUUAGCGAGAAGGAGUGCUUAAGCAAUUAAGCCGCAGUGAAGAGGCCCAAGCGACUGUUUAACUAAAACACAGCUCUCUGCGAAGUCGCAAGACGAAGUAUAGGGGGUGACACCUGCCCGGUGCUGGAAGGUUAAGAGGAUCUGUUAAGAGCGAUCUGAAGCAGUGAUCCGAAGCCCCAGUGAACGGCGGCCGUAACUAUAACGGUCCUAAGGUAGCGAAAUUCCUUGUCAGGUAAGUUCUGACCCGCACGAAUGGCGUAAUGAUUUGGGCACUGUCUCAACAGCCCGCCCGGCGAAAUUGUAGUACUGGUGAAGAUGCCAGUUACCCGCAACUAGACGGAAAGACCCCAUGGAGCUUUACUGCAGUUUAAUACUGGGAAUCGGUAAUGCAUGUACAGGAUAGGUGGGAGACUAGGAAGCAUGGUCGUCAGGUCAUGUGGAGUCACCGGUGGGAUACCACUCUUGUAUUGCUGAUUUCCUAACCUGCGGCCGUGAAUCCGGUCGGGGGACACUGUUAGACGGGCAGUUUGACUGGGGCGGUCGCCUCCAAAAGAGUAACGGAGGCGCUCAAAGGUUCGUUCAGCACGGACGGAAAUCGUGCAUUGAGUGUAAACGCAUAAACGAGCCUAACUGCGAGACCGACGGGUCGAGCAGUAACGAAAGUUGGAGUUAGUGAUCCGGUGGUAUGUGAGUGGAAAUGCCAUCGCUCAACGGAUAAAAGUUACCCUGGGGAUAACAGGCUGAUCUCCCCCAAGAGUCCACAUCGACGGGGAGGUUUGGCACCUCGAUGUCGGCUCAUC